ACACAUGCAAGUCGAGCGGGGGAAGGUAGCUUGCUACCGGACCUAGCGGCGGACGGGUGAGUAAUGCUUAGGAAUCUGCCUAUUAGUGGGGGACAACAUCUCGAAAGGGAUGCUAAUACCGCAUACGUCCUACGGGAGAAAGCAGGGGAUCUUCGGACCUUGCGCUAAUAGAUGAGCCUAAGUCGGAUUAGCUAGUUGGUGGGGUAAAGGCCUACCAAGGCGACGAUCUGUAGCGGGUCUGAGAGGAUGAUCCGCCACACUGGGACUGAGACACGGCCCAGACUCCUACGGGAGGCAGCAGUGGGGAAUAUUGGACAAUGGGGGGAACCCUGAUCCAGCCAUGCCGCGUGUGUGAAGAAGGCCUUAUGGUUGUAAAGCACUUUAAGCGAGGAGGAGGCUACUCUAGUUAAUACCUAGGGAUAGUGGACGUUACUCGCAGAAUAAGCACCGGCUAACUCUGUGCCAGCAGCCGCGGUAAUACAGAGGGUGCGAGCGUUAAUCGGAUUUACUGGGCGUAAAGCGUGCGUAGGCGGCUUAUUAAGUCGGAUGUGAAAUCCCCGAGCUUAACUUGGGAAUUGCAUUCGAUACUGGUGAGCUAGAGUAUGGGAGAGGAUGGUAGAAUUCCAGGUGUAGCGGUGAAAUGCGUAGAGAUCUGGAGGAAUACCGAUGGCGAAGGCAGCCAUCUGGCCUAAUACUGACGCUGAGGUACGAAAGCAUGGGGAGCAAACAGGAUUAGAUACCCUGGUAGUCCAUGCCGUAAACGAUGUCUACUAGCCGUUGGGGCCUUUGAGGCUUUAGUGGCGCAGCUAACGCGAUAAGUAGACCGCCUGGGGAGUACGGUCGCAGACUAAAACUCAAUGAAUUGACGGGGCCCGCACAGCGUGAGCAUGUGGUUUAAUUCGAUGCACGCGAAGAACUUACCUGGCCUUGACAUAC
rnacentral:rRNA from 1 species